GACGAACGCUGGCGGCGUGCUUAACACAUGCAAGUCGAACGGAAAGGCCCUGCUUUUGUGGGGUGCUCGAGUGGCGAAAGGGUGAGUAACACGUGAGUAACCUGCCCUUGACUUUGGGAUAACUUCAGGAAACUGGGGCUAAUACCGGAUAGGAGCUCCUGCUGCAUGGUGGGGGUUGGAAAGUUUCGGCGGUUGGGGAUGGACCCGCGGCUUAUCAGCUUGUUGGUGGGGUAGUGGCUUACCAAGGCUUUGACGGGUAGCCGGCCUGAGAGGGUGACCGGCCACAUUGGGACUGAGAUACGGCCCAGACUCCUACGGGAGGCAGCAGUGGGGAAUAUUGCACAAUGGGCGGAAGCCUGAUGCAGCAACGCCGCGUGCGGGAUGACGGCCUUCGGGUUGUAAACCGCUUUCGCCUGUGACGAAGCGUGAGUGACGGUAAUGGGUAAAGAAGCACCGGCUAACUACGUG
rnacentral:rRNA from 1 species